UGCACAGCAUCAGAUGUGUCUGACUUCUAAGGAAAAUGAGACCCCAGACACAUUGAUGGGUCUGUGCAGCAAAAACAAGAGUGGCAUUCCUGUCUGGAGAGGGUGGAGAGGAAGAGAGUCAGACACCUAUAGCACCGCGUCAUAGCCCAUGAAGCUUCUCCAGAGCAGGUGGAAGCAGGGAAAGGAACCCAGGAGCCCUUCCAUCUGGAGCAGAUGACUUCAGAGACCCCAGGGCAGCAGGUCUGCAAGGCCAGGCAGUAGAGAAGGAGCCAGCAGGGGAGAGGUUCCUGCACAGCAUUAGAUGUGUCUGACUUCUAAGGAAAAUGAGACUCCAGACACAUUGAUGGGGCAUCAACAAGACUGUGGAUAGGAAAUGAGUGAGCUGCCAACUAUUGAGCUGCUGAGCCGGAGACCACAAGACUCCACUUCUGUCCCCAUCAUCGCAGAGCCCUGCCAUCUGGAGCAGACCUCUGAGGAGAACUCAGCCCGCAGUGACCAUGUUCAGCAGGGCCUCGAGACAGAAGUGCAUCCUUAGCCAGGCCAGCUCAGCGCUGGGGAGAAGCAAGCCCAGAGAAGAUGCUGCAGACAAGGAGGAACAGGGGCUCCCACAGCACCCAUUCCACCAACUGAGAAAGAGACCACAGGCACAGAAGAGGGCACCACAGCAGGACAGUCCAAUCAGGGCUCUAGGACCACUUUACCAGGCU